UUGUGGAGGAGGACGCCGAAGGUGGGGCUAAUGACUGGGGUGAAGUCGUAACAAGGUAGCCGUACCGGAAGGUGCGGCUGGAUCACCUCCUAACAGGGAGACAACAAAAUGUUUAAUAUUAUUAUUUUGUCACCUUAGGUCGAUCGGUAUCUCACGUUUUUAAUUUAUUAAGAAUUUCAUUUCCUAAGUUUUUCUAGGUCACACCCAUUAUUUUUCCUGGGCCAUUAGCUCAGGUGGUUAGAGCGCACCCCUGAUAAGGGUGAGGUCCCUGGUUCAAGUCCAGGAUGGCCCAUAUCUCUAUGUUGGGGGUAUAGCUCAGUUGGUAGAGCGCCUGCUUUGCAAGCAGGAUGUCAGCGGUUCGAGUCCGCUUACCUCCACUGAUCACCACCUCUUCCAUAAUCGGUAGAAAGGAAAUUUUUUGAGUUGUGAUCAAAUUCUGAAAGAAUCUAGCUUCCUAAUGAAAUCAUUAAGAUGCUGGACUCAUUGAAUUAAUUUCAUUGUUUUCAGAGAACCUUGACAACUGCAUAGAUUAUUUUUAAAGACAAUAAGCAUCUUUAAUGAUGCAGAUUUAUUAUUUGUGCAAAUGCAUUAAUAACAAUUCUAUUAAGCUGAUGCUUCAAUUUUGAAGUUAUUGGUCAAGCUACAA
rnacentral:misc_RNA from 1 species